rnacentral:pre_miRNA from 1 species
GUACUCCCUCCGUUCCAAAAUACUUGACUUCCAUUUGUCCAAAAAUGGAUGUGCCUAUAUACUAAAACAUGUCUAGAUACAUAUAUAUUUUGACAAAUAGAAGGCAUGUAUUGUGCAACGGAGGGAGUAGAAU